UACGGAGGGAGCUAGCGUUAUUCGGAAUUACUGGGCGUAAAGCGCACGUAGGCGGCUUUGUAAGUAAGAGGUGAAAGCCCAGAGCUCAACUCUGGAAUUGCCUUUUAGACUGCAUCGCUUGAAUCAUGGAGAGGUCAGUGGAGUUCCGAGUGUAGAGGUGAAAUUCGUAGAUAUUCGGAAGAACACCAGUGGCGAAGGCGGCUGACUGGACAUGUAUUGACGCUGAGGUGCGAAAGCGUGGGGAGCAAACAGG
rnacentral:rRNA from 1 species